AGCCGAAUGAAUGAAAGUGGGA
rnacentral:miRNA from 1 species